rnacentral:rRNA from 1 species
UCAUUAAAUCAGUUAUCGUUUAUUUGAUAGUACCUUACUACAUGGAUACCUGUGGUAAUUCUAGAGCUAAUACAUGCUGAAAACCUCGACUUCGGAAGGGGUGUAUUUAUUAGAUAAAAAACCAAUGCCCUUCGGGGCUCCUUGGUGAAUCAUAAUAACUUAACGAAUCGCAUGGCCUUGCGCCGGCGAUGGUUCAUUCAAAUUUCUGCCCUAUCAACUUUCGAUGGUAGGAUAGUGGCCUACCAUGGUGGCAACGGGUAACGGGGAAUUAGGGUUCGAUUCCGGAGAGGGAGCCUGAGAAACGGCUACCACAUCCAAGGAAGGCAGCAGGCGCGCAAAUUACCCAAUCCCGACACGGGGAGGUAGUGACAAUAAAUACUGAUACGGGGCUCUUUUGGGUCUCGUAAUUGGAAUGAGUACAAUCUAAAUCCCUUAACGAGGAACAAUUGGAGGGCAAGUCUGGUGCCAGCAGCCGCGGUAAUUCCAGCUCCAAUAGCGUAUAUUAAAGUUGUUGCAGUUAAAAAGCUCGUAGUUGAACCUUGGGUCUGGCUGGCCGGUCCGCCUCACCGCGAGUACUGGUCCGGCUGGACCUUUCCUUCUGGGGAAUCUCAUGGCCUUCACUGGCUGUGGGGGGAACCAGGACUUUUACUGUGAAAAAAUUAGAGUGUUCAAAGCAGGCCUUUGCUCGAAUACAUUAGCAUGGAAUAAUAGAAUAGGACGUGCGGUUCUAUUUUGUUGGUUUCUAGGACCGCCGUAAUGAUUAAUAGGGAUAGUCGGGGGCGUCAGUAUUCAGCUGUCAGAGGUGAAAUUCUUGGAUUUGCUGAAGACUAACUACUGCGAAAGCAUUCGCCAAGGAUGUUUUCAUUAAUCAGGGAACGAAAGUUAGGGGAUCGAAGACGAUCAGAUACCGUCGUAGUCUUAACCAUAAACUAUGCCGACUAGGGAUCGGACGGUGUUUCUAUUAUGACCCGUUCGGCACCU